rnacentral:rRNA from 1 species
GUGGGGAAUAUUGGACAAUGGGCGAAAGCCUGAUCCAGCCAUGCCGCGUGUGUGAAGAAGGUCUUCGGAUUGUAAAGCACUUUAAGUUGGGAGGAAGGGCAGUAAGUUAAUACCUUGCUGUUUUGACGUUACCAACAGAAUAAGCACCGGCUAACUUCGUGCCAGCAGCCGCGGUAAUACGAAGGGUGCAAGCGUUAAUCGGAAUUACUGGGCGUAAAGCGCGCGUAGGUGGUUCAGCAAGUUGAAGGUGAAAUCCCCGGGCUCAACCUGGGAACUGCCUCCAAAACUACUGAGCUAGAGUACGGUAGAGGGUAGUGGAAUUUCCUGUGUAGCGGUGAAAUGCGUAGAUAUAGGAAGGAACACCAGUGGCGAAGGCGACUACCUGGACUGAUACUGACACUGAGGUGCGAAAGCGUGGGGAGCAAACAGGAUUAGAUACCCUAGUAGUCC